rnacentral:rRNA from 1 species
GACGAACGCUGGCGGCGUGCCUAAUACAUGCAAGUUGAGCGCUGAAGGUUGGUACUUGUACCAACUGGAUGAGCAGCGAACGGGUGAGUAACGCGUGGGGAAUCUGCCUUUGAGCGGGGGACAACAUUUGGAAACGAAUGCUAAUACCGCAUAAAAACUUUAAACACAAGUUUUAAGUUUGAAAGAUGCAAUUGCAUCACUCAAAGAUGAUCCCGCGUUGUAUUAGCUAGUUGGUGAGGUAAAGGCUCACCAAGGCGAUGAUACAUAGCCGACCUGAGAGGUUGGUCGGCAACUGUGGGACUGAGACACGGCCAAAACUCCUCGGGGAGGCGGCAGGGGGGAUUAUGGGGAAAUGGACGAAAGUCUAACCGGGCAACGCGGGGGGAGGGAAGAGGGUUUUCGGAUCGAAAAACUCUGGGGGAAGAGAAGAGCGUGGGUGGGGGGGAAAAGCUCAUCAAGUGACGGAAACUACCAAGAAGGGGACGGCUAACUAGGGC